UACGAAGGGGGCUAGCGUUGCUCGGAAUUACUGGGCGUAAAGGGCGCGUAGGCGGAUGUUUAAGUCAGUGGUGAAAUCCCGAGGCUCAACCUCGGGUCUGCAGUCGAUACGGGCAAACUAGAGUAUUGCAGGGGAGACUGGAAUUCCUGGUGUAGCGGUGAAAUGCGCAGAUAUCAGGAGGAACACCGGUGGCGAAGGCGACAUCCUGGACCGGUAUUGACGCUGAGGCGCGAAAGCCAGGGGAGCAAACGGG
rnacentral:rRNA from 1 species